rnacentral:rRNA from 1 species
GAUGAACGCUGGCGGCGUGCCUAAUACAUGCAAGUCGAGCGAACGGACGAGAAGCUUGCUUCUCUGAUGUUAGCGGCGGACGGGUGAGUAACACGUGGAUAACCUACCUAUAAGACUGGGAUAACUUCGGGAAACCGGAGCUAAUACCGGAUAAUAUUUUGAACCGCAUGGUUCAAAAGUGAAAGACGGUCUUGCUGUCACUUAUAGAUGGAUCCGCGCUGCAUUAGCUAGUUGGUAAGGUAACGGCUUACCAAGGCAACGAUGCAUAGCCGACCUGAGAGGGUGAUCGGCCACACUGGAACUGAGACACGGUCCAGACUCCUACGGGAGGCAGCAGUAGGGAAUCUUCCGCAAUGGGCGAAAGCCUGACGGAGCAACGCCGCGUGAGUGAUGAAGGUCUUCGGAUCGUAAAACUCUGUUAUUAGGGAAGAACAUAUGUGUAAGUAACUGUGCACAUCUUGACGGUACCUAAUCAGAAAGCCACGGCUAACUACGUGCCAGCAGCCGCGGUAAUACGUAGGUGGCAAGCGUUAUCCGGAAUUAUUGGGCGUAAAGCGCGCGUAGGCGGUUUUUUAAGUCUGAUGUGAAAGCCCACGGCUCAACCGUGGAGGGUCAUUGGAAACUGGAAAACUUGAGUGCAGAAGAGGAAAGUGGAAUUCCAUGUGUAGCGGUGAAAUGCGCAGAGAUAUGGAGGAACACCAGUGGCGAAGGCGACUUUCUGGUCUGUAACUGACGCUGAUGUGCGAAAGCGUGGGGAUCAAACAGGAUUAGAUACCCUGGUAGUCCACGCCGUAAACGAUGAGUGCUAAGUGUUAGGGGGUUUCCGCCCCUUAGUGCUGCAGCUAACGCAUUAAGCACUCCGCCUGGGGAGUACGACCGCAAGGUUGAAACUCAAAGGAAUUGACGGGGACCCGCACAAGCGGUGGAGCAUGUGGUUUAAUUCGAAGCAACGCGAAGAACCUUACCAAAUCCUGACAUCCUUUGACAACUCUAGAGAUAGAGCCUUCCCCUUCGGGGGACAAAGUGACAGGUGGUGCAUGGUUGUCGUCAGCUCGUGUCGUGAGAUGUUGGGUUAAGUCCCGCAACGAGCGCAACCCUUAAGCUUAGUUGCCAUCAUUAAGUUGGGCACUCUAAGUUGACUGCCGGUGACAAACCGGAGGAAGGUGGGGAUGACGUCAAAUCAUCAUGCCCCUUAUGAUUUGGGCUACACACGUGCUACAAUGGACAAUACAAAGGGCAGCGAAACCGCGAGGUCAAGCAAAUCCCAUAAAGUUGUUCUCAGUUCGGAUUGUAGUCUGCAACUCGACUACAUGAAGCUGGAAUCGCUAGUAAUCGUAGAUCAGCAUGCUACGGUGAAUACGUUCCCGGGUCU